rnacentral:misc_RNA from 1 species
GAUGAAGAACGUAGCGAAAUGCGAUAAGUAAUGUGAAUUGCAGAAUUCAGUGAAUCAUCGAAUCUUUGAACGCACCUUGCGCUCCUUGGCAUUCUGAGGAGCAUGCCUGUUUGAGUGUCAUUAAAUUCUCAAGACCUGUCUGCUUUUUUGAUAGGUAUUGGAUUUUGGGGGUUGCAGGCUGUUUCAAAUAAAUAGCCUUGCUCUCCUUGAAUGUAUUAGUGGAGAAAAGCCAUUGAACUCCAUUGGUGUGAUAAAACCUAUCAAUGCCAGGAGCAAUAUCACUACUUCUCUCUGCUGUCUAACUGUGAGUGUCUGUAUUAAUUAGUAUGGAUGGGGACAACUUGACCAACUUGACCUCAAAUCAGGUAGGACUACCCGCUGAACUUAAGCAUAUCAAUAAGCGGAGGA